AGCAAAAGAAACCAACAGGGAUUGCCCUAGUAACGGCGAGUGAAGCGGCAACAGCUCAAAUUUGAAAUCUGGCCUUCGGGUCCGAGUUGUAAUUUGCAGAGGAUGCUUUUGGCGCGGUGCCUUCCGAGUUCCCUGGAACGGGACGCCUUAGAGGGUGAGAGCCCCGUACGGUUGGACACCAAGCCUCUGUAAAGCUCCUUCGACGAGUCGAGUAGUUUGGGAAUGCUGCUCUAAAUGGGAGGUAAAUUUCUUCUAAAGCUAAAUACCGGCCAGAGACCGAUAGCGCACAAGUAGAGUGAUCGAAAGAUGAAAAGCACUUUGAAAAGAGGGUUAAAUAGCACGUGAAAUUGUUGAAAGGGAAGCGUUUACGGCCAGACCUUUUCCUGGCGGAUCAUCUGGUGUUCUCACCAGUGCACUUCGCCAGGUUUAGGCCAGCAUCGGCUUCUGUAGGGGGAUAAAAGCAGUGGGAAAGUAGCUCCCUCGGGAGUGUUAUAGCCCUAAGCAUAAUACCCUUACGGGGGCCGAGGACCGCGCUCUUGCAAGGAUGCUGGCGUAAUGGUCGUCAACGAC
rnacentral:rRNA from 1 species